GCCUGUGUGGCUCAGUCGGUUAAGCGUCGGACUUGGGCUCAGGUCAUGAUCUCAUGCUCGUGAGUUCGAGCCCUGCCUCAGGCA
rnacentral:tRNA from 1 species